ACGGGAGGCAGCAGUGGGGAAUCUUCCGCAAUGGGCGCAAGCCUGACGGAGCAACGCCGCGUGAGUGAAGAAGGUCUUCGGAUCGUAAAGCUCUGUUGAGAGGGACGAGAGAUAAUGUCAGGCAAUGGGCAUUAGAGGACGGUACCUUUAGAGGAAGCCACGGCUAACUACGUGCCAGCAGCCGCGGUAAUACGUAGGUGGCGAGCGUUGUCCGGAAUUAUUGGUCGUAAAGGGAGCGCAGGUGGGAUUGCCAGUCAGUCUUAAAAUUGCGGGGCUCAACCCCGUGAUGUGAUUGAAACUGCAGUUCUUGAGUGCAGUAGAGGAAAGCGGAAUUCCUAGGGUAGUGGUGAAAUGCGUAGAUAUUAGGAAGAACACCAGUGGCGAAGGCGGCUUUCUGGACUGUAACUGACACUGAGGCUCGAAAGCGUGGGGAGCGAACAGGAUUAGAUACCCUGGUA
rnacentral:rRNA from 1 species